rnacentral:rRNA from 1 species
CAGUAGCCGCGGGAAAACGGAGGGUGCGAGCGUUAAUCGGAAUUACUGGGCGUAAAGCGCACGCAGGCGGUCUGUCAAGUCAGAUGUGAAAUCCCCGGGCUUAACCUGGGAACUGCAUUUGAAACUGGCAGGCUAGAGUCUUGUAGAGGGGGGUAGAAUUCCAGGUGUAGCGGUGAAAUGCGUAGAGACCUGGAGGAAUACCGGUGGCGAAGGCGGCCCCCUGGACAAAGACUGACGCUCAGGUGCGAAAGCGUGGGGAGCAAACAGGAUUAGAUACCCCAGUAGUCCCUGUCUCUUAUAC